rnacentral:rRNA from 1 species
AGUGAACGCUGGCGGUAGGCCUAACACAUGCAAGUCGAACGGCAGCACAGUAAGAGCUUGCUCUUACGGGUGGCGAGUGGCGGACGGGUGAGGAAUACAUCGGAAUCUACUUUUUCGUGGGGGAUAACGUAGGGAAACUUACGCUAAUACCGCAUACGACCUACGGGUGAAAGCAGGGGAUCUUCGGACCUUGCGCGAUUGAAUGAGCCGAUGUCGGAUUAGCUAGUUGGCGGGGUAAAGGCCCACCAAGGCGACGAUCCGUAGCUGGUCUGAGAGGAUGAUCGCCCACACGGGAACUGAGCCACGGUCCAGACUCCUGCGGGAGGCAGCAGUGGGGAAUAUGAGGCAAUGGGCGAAAGCCUGAUCCAGCCGUACCGCGUCGGUGAAGAAGGCCUUCGGUUUGUAAAGCCCUUUUGUUGGGAAAGAAAAGCAGCAGGUUAAUACCCCGCUGUUCUGACGGUACCCAAAGAAUAAGCACCGGCUAACUUCGUG